rnacentral:rRNA from 1 species
UACGUAGGGUGCAAGCGUUAAUCGGAAUUACUGGGCGUAAAGCGUGCGCAGGCGGUUGUGUAAGACAGAUGUGAAAUCCCCGGGCUCAACCUGGGAACUGCAUUUGUGACUGCACAGCUGGAGUGCGGCAGAGGGGGAUGGAAUUCCGCGUGUAGCAGUGAAAUGCGUAGAUAUGCGGAGGAACACCGAUGGCGAAGGCAAUCCCCUGGGCCUGCACUGACGCUCAUGCAUGAAAGCGUGGGGAGCAAACAGG